rfam:Triticum aestivum genome assembly, contig: Triticum_aestivum_CS42_TGACv1_scaffold_146238_2BS
AUAAUACUCCCUCCGUCCGAAAAAUCUUGUCCCAAAUUUGUCCCUCAAAUGGAUGUAUCUAGCACCAAGUUAGUGCUAGAUACAUUCAUUUGAGGGACAAGCUUUUUUGGAUAGAGGCAGUAUGGC